rnacentral:lncRNA from 1 species
UGAACAUCUUUAAAGAACUUUAUCCUAUUCAACUUAUAUAUUCUCACUUAGGCUUUACAAAUGGCCCAGCUCCAGUUUUUAUAGUUAAGGAAACUAUAACUGAGAGAUAUUGAAGUUAGUUCCCUAAAGUCACAUGACAGGGGACGUGGGACAGAGCCAGGGCAAAGCCCAGGGCUUCUACUUUUAAAUCUUGUGCUUUUUUUUCGAUCUCGUGUAUCUUACUGUGGGCUCUCCCCAAGUGGACGUUCAGACAGGGAUUGGAGUACAGUGGGUGUAUUGGGGAAGUUUGGGGGCCAGUAGUGGGGGACUGAGAAAGUGGCCCAGCAGGGACAAGAGCAGCCCACAGGGAGUGCAUUUGGAGCCAGUGACCACUUCGGGCAACUGGAGCUUAAUGCCACAGGAAAAAAUCUGAGAAACGAUAGAAAAUACAGGCCUCAGAGUUAUCCCACCAAAGGGGUGAGGGAGCUGGGAUAUUUAUGCCCCAGUUACCAAGAAUCCUUGCUUGACAGCUGCUUCCAGGAGUGUUAAUUCCACCCGGCUGCUCUUCUGGAAAAAAAGCCUUGAGAUUUACAGGCACAGAUAGGUUGGCCAGCACACCGUGGCUCAGACAGUUUGGAGGGAUGUAGAUAUAAAUCGCAGACCAUGUCUGCUACUCCAAGCUUUAAGGGAGCCCAGCCUCGGCCGAUGCCUUCCUCCCCUUACCAGCCAAGCACAAGAAGUAGAGGUGAUCUUGAACUCCAGCACAGCCCGGGGGAUCCAGCCUCUGUUCCGGGUGAGCUUUUCGCGGUGGAGACGGCGGCCGCCGGGACGGUGUCUGCCACACAGUAGGUGGUCAAAACCCGACAGCGGGAAGGAAAUGCAAUGGAACCGCCGCGGGCUUGAGUUUUCUCUUUUGAACAACGAGAAUGACAGCUCCAACGGGACACUUGGAGGUCAGGACGAACGAAAGGAACCUAAGAAGCUUGGAUGGGAAAGCCUCCUAGAAAUAGUAAGUAUUCGUUCUCCCGUUUGGACUUUGGCAAGCCAGGGUGUUUUAGGAAGGGUCUGGCACUCUGCGUUCCUAAAAUUGGUUUCCUAGAUGG